UGAAUAAACCACCAAGAACCCAUACAUGACUUUGUUUUCAUUGUAUCAAAGUCAUGUGUCCACCAGUCUGAGCACCAGCAACUCACUUCUUCCUUAGACGUCUCUAAAGCUGGAAAGAUUUUAAGGGACAAUAUGGUUUCUUUCAACCCACCCCAAUGUUAUGAAUGAGAUCAUCAGACCAACAGCAAACACCUAAAAGUAUUUGCUGCUACCUCCUGUUGCCCCAGAAUGACAGCUUCUCUGUGAUCUCUUCAGAGGCAACAGCUGUGUGGUUGAAUUCCUCCCCAUAUCCUAGACAUUGCCCAGCACAGAUAAGGUUCUUUCUGGGACAUCAGAAAGUAUUUUUUGACAAAUUGGCUGGCUAAGAGAAGCAAUAGUGGCCCUGGGUAUUUUCUUCUCAAGACAAAUAUAAGGGAUUUGCUACGAGAGUCUAUAGAAGCAAUGGAGAAGAAGAGAACUGAGGUGACAGUAACAAUCUUAUGGCCAUUCUUUCAGAUGAUAACUUUCAGUGCUUCUGUGAGGUCAGAUGCUUGCCUCUCUUUUCUCACAAAAAGAAACUGAGAAGGGAAGUGGCAGGUCUCCCAGGUCCUACAGCCAAUCAGCAGCGGGGCUGGAACUCCAACCUUGGGAUCCCAAUACCAGACCCUAAACUUCCUGCUCUAGUUCCUCUAAAUCUGGGCAGGAGUUACAGCUCAAACCUGACCUAGAUGCAUUCAGGAUAAGGGGUUUCUCCAUAUGUUACUUCUGACGCUGGGAAUGCUGUCAUGAUCCUGGGUGGUCCGUGGUACUUUCCAGGGUGAGCCCAUUUACCCUGAGAGGAUGUACUACCUCUCCAAGUAACCAUGGAGUCAAAUGUCUAUCUCUGGCCAGCUUCAGGACAACAAAGAUGUUUUAUCAGGCACCACUGAGCUGUACAUUGUGAACAAAUUCACGGGGAAGCAGCAGAUACUAGAGAACCUUCUUGCUCCGCUUCUACCAUCUAUUGCCUGUGAGACAAGAGGAAAUCAGUCAACUUUUCUUCUUUUUGGACCCAUUAUUUCCUGAAACAAAAUGAAAUGCACAGGUAAUUGAGGGUGGCAUAUGGUACUGAUAAGCCAUGUACCUCACAGGCUUUUUGUAAUGCUCUAGUCAUACAAUGAACAACGAAACACUUGUGAGGUGUAAUGGGAUAUUUAAGUGUAAAGCAAUGUUACCAUAAAUCAGUGAGCGAAUAUUAUUCUUGCAGGAAAAUGCAGAUAGGAAAUAAGUAUAAAAUCCAGAAACCAAUUUAAUAUCUGCAGUGCUCAUCUAUGCCAUGAUAGGAAUUAUAAGAGAGUGUAGAGCUGUAGUUUUUGUGAUUUGAAGUUGAGGAACUUUUCAUCUAUUGGUAGUUCAAAGUUUACAUUAACAAUGUCAUAAAUCUGGACCUGUAACUGGCCACCUUUGAAAGUCUAUGGAGAAGAUAUGCAUGAGAAUAAAGGUACCACAGGGGGAAAAACAAAUCACAAAAUGAAACAAGCAAAAACUUUAUCAUGAUUAUGACAUUUGAAUCAAUUUUUUUUUUUGAGAUGGAGUCUCACUCUGUCUCCCAGACUGGAUUUGUGCAGUGGUGUGAUCUUGGCUCAUUGCAACCUUCAUCUCCUGGAUUCAAGCGAUUCUCCUGUCUCAGCCCCCAGAGUAUCCGGGACUACAGGUGCCGGCCACCACCAUGCCUGGCUAAUUUUUGUAUUUUUAGUAGAGACAGGGUUUCACCAUGUUGGCCAGGCUGGUCUUGAACUCCUGACUUGAGGUGAUUGGCCCACCUUGGCCUCCCAAGGUUCUGGGAUUACAAGCAUGAGCCAUUGUGCCCAUCUUGAAUCUGUGGAUUUAGAGAGGCUCUAGACCUCUUCUUCCCUCUGCUUCUUCCAGUAUUAUUAGCCAAUAUAUUGCUUUCACUUUCUGGCACUUACAAAAAGAGGAAAAAAAGAUUUUAACUAAUACGUUUCUUUGUUUUUCUUUUUAAUCCCCAUAACAUUCUGUACCAGGAGAGGAAAUGCCAGUUUCUUACUUAGAUGAAUAGAAGAUUGUUGACUGGGUAUAUGGAAAUUAAAGAUAUAAGCAUAUACAGACAAGGACUGGUGGUAAGGUCAGAACAACAGAAUUUGAGAGCUAUGCGGGCCUUGGGAUUAUCUAGUCUACCUCCUCAUUUGUACAGAGUAUGAAACAGGUCCAGAGAGGGGAAAGGUCCUAUAGGAGUCAGGUCUUAAAUCAGUAUGUCUGACUCCCAAGCCACACUGCUUCUGCUCCUUCUCCUUCUUUUGUCCCCCCUGCCUUUUUUUUUGUAAAGGAAAUAAAAUGUUAGAGAUAUACUUUUAGUUCUUAUUUUAUUCCAACCCCAUUUUUCCUUUUGUCACUGAACUGUAGUUGAUACAAGUUUAUUUUUUCACUAUAUGUUUAUCCCCAAAAUAUAUCUGGUUUUCAUAUUUUAAACUUUUACCCAUAUAGUGUACUAUGCCAGUAUUUCUGUAUCCCACUUUUUUCGCUCUAUUUUUGUUACCUUUUCAUAUGGAUAUAUAAAAUGCCAUUUUGUGGCUAUACCACAAUGUAUAUAUUCCCAAAGAAUGAAUAUUUAGAUAAUUGUCAGUUUGAGGUGUUUUUUUUUUCAGUACUUGUUUCUAAAAUAUUUUUACACAUUUUUCCUUUUGCACAUGAGUUUCUGUUGUGUAUAUGCCUAGAAUUGCUGGGUCGUAGGGUAGGUACAUUUUUUAUUUUACUAGAGAAUUCCAGACUUCUCUUCAGAAUAGUGACAUUGGUGUGUCAGAUGGAACCAGAAUCUGCUCCAAGUACAUCACAAGGUUUAGUGAGGAUCCAAGCAAAAUGAGUGUGAAAACACUUUUGAAGUUGUUGACAAUGCGGUGCCAUGAAUCGUGAGGAGGCAAUUUUAAGUCAGUGUGUGGACAACAAUGAUCAUAGGUAGACACUGGAUAAAUGACCAACUCUUAAUGAAGUCUUAAUUUUAUCUACCUUAGGGUCAUGUCCAGAGAAUCAGCAAAAACGAUUACAUUUAAAUAUGUCUUCAUGUUUUGUGAGGGCUUUAGAUCUGAUGUAAACAUAUAAGAAAAAAAUCAUGUUUAAUAUAGCCAGAAGAUAUAUAAUAACAUCAGUUUCUGGGCAGAAAGUCAGCCCUAUACAAAUUCUAAAUGCCAGUUACAAACUAGACAGGUUUUAACAUGGUUUAGAAUGCCUUCACAGGGAACUAGCACUGUACCUUUGUCUCUGAGAAAAAUAGACAAAUGAGUCAGUUAUGUGUUUACUGUUUAAUUCAUAUUCAAUUAUAUUUUGCAGCUUAAAAGGCCACUAAUUAAAAAAAACAACAAAAUAAAUCUCACUUGGAAUAUUGGGGGUUUUUUUUGGCUGGUUCAUUAUUUUAGUGUACUUUUCUUUGAACUGUGUUUUGGUUUCUGGGUUAAGAUGGUGAUGCUUCAUCCACUUUUAUUCUCCCACUGAAUAAUUCAUGAUGGACUGGAGAAUCUCAAUGAUUGGUUCACCAUACUCUGGCAGAAAUUCCUACUGACUGCCAUACCUUGAGUAAGAAACUCUUGGUAACCAAUGCAGACUCAGACCUCUUGAAAAAUGAAAAGCAGGGCCAAGCUGGAUAAAAGCCAGAAUUACUGUUUGCCAAAUUACACUGUUGGGUUUUGUGGAACAGUUAGGACUCUCAUAUACCUAAAGAUAGUGAAAAGAUAUAUAGAGGUUACUGAGGUUGGAAAUAUAUGUUGAGUUUAAUCUAAUAUUGUAAUCGACAAUGGCCUUUCAAUGAAGAUUUAAGGAAUUUGGAAUCUAUUCUGCAGGCAGAAGGGAAAGUAUUGAUGAUUUUGAGCAGUGACAAUAGGAUCAGAUGCAUGUUUUAAAGGUCUAGAAGUGUAAAGAGUAUAUGUAUAUUAGGGCUGGAGUGGCAGGAGGCUGGGAGACAAACUUAUUGCAAGGCUCCACGUAAAAUCAUAUGGACUUCACUGAAUCUUAUCCUCAGGUAAAUACUAAUAAUUAAAAGGGUUUCACCAUUUAUAGAGCUUUCAGAUUUAUCCUUAAUAUUAUUAUCCUCACAUCUGCUGAAGAGCAAGCCUCUCAUCAUCUUCUGCUCCAGUCUUGUGAUGGUAGCAUGUACCUGCUUCUGGUGGUGAUAAACCCUGGGCAAUCAUCUCUGCUAGGAACAGCUGUUCUUCAUGGUGACUGCUGUGAAACCAACAGGAUGGCCUCUUUUCUAUUUAGUCCUAAGAGUGGGCAUAAGGUAAAACAUUGUUGGAUACUUCCUUUGGAGUUCUAGACUCAGGGUGAGAUUACAGAAGAUAUGCUCAACAUGCUCCUUUGACCUGGUCCCAGUUUCACCAUAUUUGAUAGAUGCUUUACAGUCUCUGUUUAGAGUCUUGCCUAUCCAGAGCCUAUCUCAACAGUUCGGGACACAAGGAAGAAAGCAAGAUAUAAAUAACCAUGGAAGCAAAUUCAACCACCACUUGUUUUUAUAAAGUUUGUUGAAACACAGCCAUGAUAAUUUGCUUGCAUACUAUCUAUAGCUACAUUUGCUAAAAAAAAAAAAAAAAAACCAGAGUAGUUGGCUGGGUGUGGUGGCUUACACCUGUAAUCCCAGUACUUUGAAAGGCCAAGACAAGAACAUCACUUGAGCCUUGGAGUUCUAGACUAGCCUGGGCAACAUGGCAAAACCCCCCAUCACUAUUAAAAUAUCUUUAAAAUUAGCCAGGCAUGGUGGCACACACUUGUGUUCCCAGCUACUCAGGAGGCUGAGGGGGGAAGAUCACCUGAGCUUAGGGAAGUCAAGGCUGCAGUAAGCCAAGAUUGUGCUACUGCACUCCAGCCUGGGUGACAGAGACCCUGUCUCAGAAAUAAAAAGGAAAAAAAAAAGAGAGAAAGCAAUGUGUGAAUUCAAAUUUUCUAGGUAAGACUAAACCCCAGAAGGUCUCUGACCUAUAGGACACUCUUAAAAUGCUUCCCUCUUGAAUAAAAAAUACUGUUUCAGCCUGGCAACUAAAAGCCUUCAUUACCUGGGUCCUUUUCCUUUUCCAACUCAAAGCAAGACUCAGUUGUGAUUACAACCAUAUGGAUUGCAAAGUCUAAAAUAUUUACUGUUUGACCUCUCACAUUAGAAAGCUUACUAAAUUCCUGGAACAAUCUAUGGUGAACACAGCUCCACAGGAGGAACACCCUGGCUACUUCCCCAGAUUGAGGAUUGCGUGAGAGGCAGAGUCAUAAUUCCUCCCUACUUGGAACAUCAACAUUCCUACAGAUGCUAAGAGGUGCAUGUCUGACCUGAAUAGCCAAAACCCUGAGACAGCAAUAAGCCUGUGAGGGGAACAGCUUUCCUGCUCACCAGGCAGGGGAGCUGGGAUAGCUCACACUUUUUACCCUGGUAAAACCUCAGCACACCUAAUUGAGAGCUCCCCCAGCCACCCUCAUCAAGGCUGGGACCUUGUUCCACUUCUGGAUAUUACAUCUACCCACCUGCCUUAGCUACAGGGAUAUUUUUCCUAUUGGCCUGAAGCCUGAAUCAUCAACUCAGUAAAUAAAAUACCAGUAAAUAGGUAAAAUGUACAUCACAAGAGAAUGAGAUAAGCUUCAAGAGAUCCCUGCCAUUUCAGCCCGACAAAAGACAGUGAACUUGCCACACAUCAAGAACAGAACCACUACAGCCAGCAUCUGGAAAUAGCCAGUGUACAAAGACUCUCUAUAACUAAGGAAAUCAUAAAGAGCCUUCACCACUAAAAGCACCAAAAAUCAAAUUAAGCUAAAAUAAACAUUAAAGUCUGAAGCCUAAGAGGGAAAAAAAGAAAUUAAAAAGAAAAAACAGAGUCCAAUCAAAAAUUCAAGAGCAAUUUGAAGAAAUAGUAUAUCCAACUGAGAAGGAAUUUGCAAAAGUAAUUCUGGUAAUAUAACACAACAGGGUUGCAUGACAUGCUCAGAAGAUCACACUAGCUCCUCAGCAAUGGAUCUAACCCAAUAAGAAAUCCCUGAAUCACCAGAUAAAUAAUUCAGAAAGAAUUCAAAGAGAUACAAGAGAAACAUGAAAAUGAAUUUAAAGAAAUUUUAAAAACAAUUCAGGACAUGGAUAAAGAAUUUUUCAGUGAGUUUUCAAUAAGAUAGAGUGGCUCACCCCUAUAUUCCCAGCACUUUGGGAGGCCAAGGUGGGUGGAUCACCUGAGGUCAGGAGUUCAAGACCAACAUGGAGAAACCCUGUCUCUACUAAACAUACAAAAUUAGCUGGGCAUGGUGGUCCAUGCUUAUAAUCCCAGCUAUUUGGGAGGCUGAGGCAGGACAAUUGCUUGAACCCUGGAGGCAGAGGUUGUGGUGGGCUGAGAUUGCACCAUUCCACUGUAGCCUGGUAAACAAGACCAAAACUCUGUCUCGAACAAACAAAAAAAAAAGGAAGAAAGAAAGAAAGAAAAAGAAUUUUCCAGAGAAAUAGAUUCCAUAAGGAAAUCACAAUCAGAACUUCUGGAAAUAAAAGACACAUUUAGGAAAACACAAAAUACACUGGAAAGUGUCAAGGAAAGACUAGAACAAAUAGAAGAAAGAAUUUCAGAGCUGGAAGACAAGGCUUUCAAUUUUUUUUUUUUUUUUUUUUGAGACAGAGUUUCGCUGUUGUUACCCAGACUGGAGUGCAAUGGCACAAUCUCAGCUCACCGCAACCACCGCCUUCUGGGUUCAAGCAAUUCUCCUGCCUCAGCCUCCUGAAUAGCUGGGACUACAGGCUGCGCCACCAUGCCCAGCUAAUUUUUGUAUUUUUAGUAGAGACAGGGUUUCACCUUGUUGACCAGGAUGGUCUCGAUCUCGUGAUCCACCCGCCUCGGCCUCCCAAAGUGCUGGGAUUAGAGGCAUGAGCCACCGCGCCCUGCCAAGGCUUUCAAAUUAACUAAAUCAAACAAGACACAGAAAAAAUAGUUUUUAAAAAAUGAACAAAGUCUUUAAGAAAUAUGAGAUUAUAUAAAAUGGCCAAACCUAAGAAUAAUUAGUAUUCCUGAGGAAGAAGAGAAAUCUAAAAGUUUGGAAAACUUACUUGAGGGAAUAAUUGAGAAAAACUGCCCUGGCCUUGCUAGAGAUCUAGACAUCCAAAUACAUGAAGCUCACGAAACUCCUGGGAAAUUCAUCACAAAAAUAUUAUUGCCAAGGCACAUAGUCAUCAGGUUAUUUAAAGUCAAGAGGCAGGACAGAAUCUUAAGAGUUGUGAGACAAAAGCAUCAGGCAACCUAUAAAGGAAAACCUAUCAGAUUAACAGAAGAUUUCUCAGCAGAAACCUUAAAAAACAAAGGAUUGGGGUACUAUCUUUAUGCUCCUUAAAUAAAACAAUUGUGACAAGUUUUGUAAGCAGCAAAACUAAGCUUCAUAAAACAAAGGAGCGAUAGUCUUUUUCAGACAAAUGCUGAUAGAAUUUUACAAUACCAAAUCAGCACUACAAGAAAUGAUAAAAAAGAUUUAUAAAUCUUUAAGAAAAACAUCAAAAUACACUAAAAUAGAAGCUCCUUAAAGGAUAAAUCUCACAGGGCCUAUAAAACAAUAACACAAUUUUUAAAAAGGUAUUUAGGCAACAACUAACAUCAUAAAUAGAACAGUAACUCAUAUUGUAAUACUAACAUUGAAAAUCGGUGGCCUAAAUUUUAAAAUACAGAAUGGCAGAGUAGAUAAAAAAUGAAAAAAAAAAAAAACAGCAACAAAGUGUCUUCUGUUUUCAGGAGACUCACUUAAACAUAAUGACUUAGACACACCAUAAAGGGUUGGGAAAAGAUAUUUUAUGCAAAGGGAAACCAAAAGUGAGAAAUAGCUAUUCUUAUAUCAGACAAAACAGACUUUAAAGCAACAACAGUAAAAAUAGACAAAGAAAAACAUCACAUAAUGAUAAAAAGAUUAGUCCAGCAAAAAGAUGUUAUAAUCCUAAAUAUAUAUGCAUUCAAUAUUGAAGCUUUUAAAUUUAUAAAACAAUUAUUACUAGGCCUAAGAAAUAAGAUAAACAGCAACACUAUAAUAGUGGGGGAUCUCAGUGCUCCAUUGACAGCACUAGACAGAUCAUCAAAACAGAAAAUCAACAAAGAAGCAAUGGACUUAAGAGAUAUUUAUAGAACAUUCUACCCAGUUGCAGUCUAUACAUUCUUCUCAUCAACACAUGGAACAUUCUCUAAGAUAGACCAUAUUAUAAGACACAAAACGUGUCUCAAUAUAUAUUAAGAAAAUCAAGUAUCUUCUCAGACCACAGUAACUGAAAACAAACACCAAAAGUAACCCUAAAGCUGUACAAAUACAUGGAAAUUAAAUAAUCUGCUCUUGAUUGAUCCUUGGAUCAGCCUGAGACCCAUCACUAGGUGAGAAACUGGUUUAAGAUUCUGUCUUGUUGGCCGAGCGUUGUGGCUCAAGCCUGUAAUCCCAGCAAUUUGGGAGGCCGAGGCGGGUGGAUCACGAGGUUAAGAGAUUGAGACCAUCCUAAUCAACAUGGUGAAACCCCAUCUCUACUAAAAAAACUACAAAAAAUUAGCUGGGCUUGAUGGUGCGUGCCUGUAAUCCCAGCUGCUCAGGAGGCUGAGGCAGGAGAAUUGCCUGAACCGAGGAGGUGGAGGUUGCGGUGAGCCGAGAUUGCGACAUUGCACUCCAGCCUGGGUAACAGGAGCGAAAACUCUGUCUCAAAAAAAAAGAUUCUGUCUUGCAAAUCCCUUUUAAAGGACUAAAGUUAGCAUUUAACAACCAGCUGGUGUUAAUUUCUGCUUACACUUAGAGCACUCAGAGAUCUUAUAAUUUGUCUGAUCAUUGCUCAUUUAGCAGCGUUUUCUCCUAGUUAAAAUAUGGUAAUAAGAUUUUUAAAAAUUGUUUUUAAAGGAACUCAAUGGUUAAAAAGUCAGCUUAACUAAAAGGCUAAUAUCCAAAAUGUGUGUGUGUGUGUAUGUGUGCAUGUGUGCAUAUUUGUAUUUGAAAGGCCUUUAUGUUUUGGGUUUUUUUGUUUGUUUCUUUGUUUUUUUCUCCUAAGACCUUGUCUUUUUUUGAGCAUACUUUUUUUUUUUAUUCUCAGUUGACUGAAUUUUGUUUUCACUUGAUUUUUUUUUUUUUUUUUGAGAUAGAGUCUUACCGUGUCACCCAGGCUGGAGUGCAGUGGCAUGAUCUUGGCUGACUACAACCUCUGCCUCCUAGAUUCAAGUAAUUCUCUGCCUCAGCCUCCCAAGUACCUGAAAUUACAAGAGCCCACCACCACACCUGGCUAAUUAUUGUAUUUUUAAUAGUGAUGAGAUUUCACCAUCCUGGCCAGGCUGGUCUUGAACUCCUGACCUCAUGAUCCACCAAUCUCAGCCUCCCAAAGUGCUGGGCUUGCAGUCAUGAGUCACUGCACCUGGGCUGCUAGUUUUAAAAUUGGUAAAGUAAUAUUAGAAAUAUGUUAAGAAUUGUCCAGCACUGGGAAAUGUGGCACAUAUACACCAUGGAAUAUUAUGCAGCAAUAAAAAAUGAUGAGUUUGUGUCCUUUGUAGGGACAUGGAUGAAUCUAGAGAACAUCAUUCUCAGCAAACUGACACAAGAACAGAAAAUGAAAUACCGCAUAUUCUCACUCAUAGGCGGGUGAUGAAAAAUGAGAACACGUGGACACAGGGAGGGGAGUACUACACACUGGGGUCUAUUGAGGGGAAUAGGGGAGGGACAGCGGGGGUGGGGGGGAGCUGGGGAGGGAUCGCCUGGGGAGAAAUGCCAAAUGUGUGUGAAGGGGAGGAAGGCAGCAGAACACACUGCCAUGUGUGUACCUAUGCAACAUCUUGCAUGUUCUGCACAUGUACCCCAAAACCUAAAAUGCAAUAAAAAAAAAUAAAAAAUAAAGAAUUGUCCAGCAUACAUUUUUGUUUGUAUUUAUUAAUCAAGCAGUUUCAUACUUACCCCUGCCAAAUACGGUAAGGUGUCAAAAUUUUGGCAUAGGGGUUACAAAACUAUACACCACCCCAAAACAGAAUAUUUGCUUGUGCAAUUUUUAAUAAAUCAGACAUUGAUAUGGGUUUAAUAAAAAUACCUGCAUCUUAAAUUUAGUAAAAUUGCGAUAACUUUUAAUCCUAUGGCUUUAGGCAUUCUGAUUCACUGACAAUAAGGAAGUUUGUUUUGGGAAAGGACUGUUAUUGUCAUUGUUUCAAAACUGUACUAUAAAUUGUGUUUCUCCCUAAGUUUGUUCAGCCUAUGCUGAGGAAUAAACUAAGACAACUUGGAAUUAAGAGCAGUAUGGAGUCAGUUACAUCAAAUCUUUUUUCACUGUCUCAGUUAUAAUUUUGCUAUGGUGGUUUCAUAACUUUAAAUCAUGACUAUUACAGUUUUCUUAAAUAAUCCACAUAAACAGUUAAAAUAAAAUCAGUAAAUGUAAUUGGAUAAAUACUUGUAGACAAACUGGUCAUAAUUUAGAAUAUAAAGCUAUAUUAAAUUAAAUAAUAGAUAUUUUAUUAUUUGGGUAUUUUUCAAUAAAUAUAUAUUGUAGGAAAACAUUCUUGCUAUAGAAAACAGAGUAUGUCCUUCAAAAAAAAAAAGAACAAAUUUUAUGUAAUUCAAAGCUUAUUUAAAGGUUAUGUCUAAAACAAAUUAAAAGAAACUAGGUAUAAAAAAGGAUGUAAAGAGGGAUUCCAUGUUUGGGUCCCCUUCCACAAACACUCCCUUCGUGGAAGCCAUCUUUCUCUCUCCUGGAUUUCCCCUCUGGAGUCCCCUUCCACACUCUCUCGUGGAAGCCUGUUUUCCCCUCCUAAACUCCAUCUCUCUCUCUCUCUCUCUCUCUCUCUCUAUUCCCUUCCCCUCAGUGUGGAAGCUGCUUUUCUCUCCUGGAUUCCAUCUUUCUGGAUUCUCUCUUUAAAAUAAAAAUAAUAAAAAAAGAUGUAAAGAAAGUUAUAAAAGUAAAGAAGUAUAUUUUUGAGGUUAAAAAGCUUAAAGAGAAAUAAUUUUAUAUAAGAAAUAAUCUUAUAGGGUAACAUUAGUCAUAAAGUAAAAUAACUGCUUUUUUAAAAAGGAGGGAUGUUGGGAACUAAUCAGAAAGUCUGACCAUGUCAUGAACAGUCAGUGUAAGUCACAAUAAGAGGACUUAUAAAUAUUUACCAAAAAAACCCCAAAACUUUUAUAUAAUCAAGUUUUCAUACUAUUAUUAAGUUUUGGUUUACUUAGGGAAAAAAAGAAUGUUUUUUAAUGAAGGUUAUUAUAUUCAUGUUCUGUAUCUGCUUUUAAAGUCCUUGUAAUGGCUGAGUGCCGUGGUUCACACCUGUAAUCCCAGCACUUUGGGAGGCCAAGACAGGCAGAUCAUGAGAUCAGGAGCCCAGCCUGGCCAGCAUGGUGAAACCCCGUCUCUAUAAAAAAUACAAAAAUUAGCCAGGCAUGAUGGUGCACACCUGUAGUCCCAGCUACUUGAGAGGUUCAGGCAGGAAAAUUGCUUGAACCCAGCACGCAGAGGUUGCAGUGAGCCGGGUUUGCACCACUGCACUCCAGCCUGGGCAACAAAGCGAAACUCAGUCACAAAAAAAAAAAAAAAAAGUCCUUGUAACAUUGAGUUACAGGGCGUAAGUUCCUGGGUUAAAGAAACCAAAUGCUGCUAAAUCUCAAACACUGACAGCAAUUAAAGCCUCAUCUUCAGGCCCCUUGGAAGACGCCAAUAAAAACAAACUACGUUCCUGAGAUACAGGGCAAGAAAUUAAAGCUAUUCAACUCCUCAAGUCCCAGAGACCAUAGCAGAAGAGAUGGACCCAUAAGAUUGUAAGGGCCGAUUUUGAAAGAUAAAAUGAGUUUAGUUUCUCUAUAAAUUAAUGUCAAAGGCACACUGAUGUAAAACCAGUAUAUGGACCCCUGUGUCAGAUUAACAAGGUUUUCUUGAAUCAUUAACCAACUUCCUAAUAAAGGUUAUAAAAGGCUAAUGGAAGUUAUAUUUUAUAAUCAAGAUGAAAUUUUAUAGAUUACAAAAUUUUGAAAAACAAAUGUAAUUGGCUUCAUGCUGUUUUCUUUUUUCUUUCUAUAUAUUUUUUUUCUUUUGAGACAGAGUUUUGCUCUUUUGCCAGGCUGGAGUGCAGUGGCAUGAUCUUGGCUCACUGCAACCUCUGUCUCCUGGAUUCAAGCAAUUCCCCUGCCUCAGCCUCCUGAGUAGCUGGGACUACAGGUGCAUGCCACAACGCCUGGCUAAUUUUUUGUAUUUUAGUAGAGACGGUGUUUCACCAUGGCCAGGAUGGUCUCGAUCUCCUGACCUCAUGAUCUGCCCUCCUCUGCCUCCCAAAGUGCUGUGAUUACAGGCGUGAGCCACCGCACCUGGCCUUCAUGCUGUUUUCAGUAGGGCUUCUAGUUUAGAAAACUAAGUCUCCUCUCUCAAAGACUGAAGGAUUUUUGAAAUGCUUGAAUUAUCACUUUGGGUAAAUAAAUGUCUUUUCAAUGACUUGUAAUUCCAUUGUUUAAUAUCAAGUGAUUUAAACCUUUUAUAUUUGACAGACUUUCCAAAAUCAAAUUUUAUAUUAUGUCUUUUUCUAACCUAAUUAAUCCUUCAAGACAUUAGGUUUCCUAAAGUCUAAAAAUGAAAUAAAUAAUUUGACUUAUUUUGAUAUAAAAAUUAUUCAGGAAGCUUUGUGAAAUAUGAAAUGGUAUUUGCUUUUCUUUGGGCUGUAUUUGUAUAAAAAUGUUACAGGUACGUGUUCCAAAAUUAUGGGAAAUUCCUGUAAUGCUGAUAUAACUUAGUGUACAUUAUCAGUAAUAAUCAUAAUUGUUACAUUAAAAUCAUUGUGUGCCAUAGAGUUAAGAAA